ACGGCCUUCGGGUUGUAAACUUCUUUUAGUAGGGAAGAAGCGUAACAGUGACGGUACCUGCAGAAAAAGCACCGGCUAACUACGAGCCAGCAGCCGCGGUAAUACGUAGGGUGCAAGCGUUGUCCGGAAUUAUUGGGCGUAAAGAGCUCGUAGGCGGUUUGUCGCGUCUGCUGUGAAAACCCGAGGCUCAACCUCGGGCCUGCAGUGGGUACGGGCAGACUAGAGUGCGGUAGGGGAGAUUGGAAUUCCUGGUGUAGCGGUGGAAUGCGCAGAUAUCAGGAGGAACACCAAUGGCGAAGGCAGAUCUCUGGGCCGUAACUGACGCUGAGGAGCGAAAGCAUGGGGAGCGAACAGGAUUAGAUACCCUGGUAGUCCAUGCCGUAAACGUUGGGGACUAGAUGUGGGGACCACUCCACGGUCUCCGUGUCGCAGCUAACGCAUUAAGUUCCCCGCCUGGGGAGUACGGCCACAAGGCUAAAACUCAAAGGAAUUGACGGAAUCACUA
rnacentral:rRNA from 1 species